GACGAGGGACCCUAGCGUUGUUCGGAAUCAUUGGGCGUAAAGCGGGUGCAGGUGGCUUUGUAAGUCAGGUGUGAAAUCCCUGGGCUCAACCCAGGACGUGCAUUUGAUACUGCGAAGCUUGAGUGCUGGAGAGGUUACUGGAAUACCUGGUGUAGUGGUGAAAUACGUAGAUAUCAGGUGGAACACCGGAGGCGAAGGCGGGUAACUGGCCAGACACUGACACUCAGACCCGAAAGCGUGGGGAUCAAACAGG
rnacentral:rRNA from 1 species